rnacentral:rRNA from 1 species
UACGUAGGUGGCAAGCGUUGUCCGGAAUUAUUGGGCGUAAAGAGCUCGUAGGCGGUCUGUCGCGUCGAUCGUGAAAACUUGGGGCUUAACCCUGAGCUUGCGGUCGAUACGGGCAUGACUGGAGUUCGGCAGGGGAGACUGGAAUUCCUGGUGUAGCGGUGAAAUGCGCAGAUAUCAGGAGGAACACCGGUGGCGAAGGCGGGUCUCUGGGCCGAUACUGACGCUGAGGAGCGAAAGCGUGGGGAGCGAACAGG